UGGAGUAGGGAAGAAGUUAGGGUCAGUGGCAGAGCCAGGCAGAUGCUGACACUUUUUCUCUUCCCCAG
ensembl:miRNA